ensembl:lncRNA
CGUAAGGCUCUCCAGAGGGUAGUGAGGUCUGCACAACGCAUCACCGGGGGCAAACUACCUGCCCUCCAGGACACCUACACUACCCGAUGCUACAGGAAGGCCAUAAAGAUCAUCAAGGACAUCAACCACCCGAGCCACUGCCUGUUCACCCCGCUGUCAUCCAGAAGGCGAGGACCUGAGCCCUAGGACCAUGCCUCAGGACUACCUGACAUGAUGACUCCUUGCUGUCCCCAGUCCACCUGGCCGUGCUGCUGCUCCAGUUCCAACUGUUCUGCCUUAUUAUUAUUGGACCAUGCUGGUCAUUUAUGAACAUUUGAACAUCUUGGCCAUGUUCUGUUAUAAUCUCCACCCGGCACAGCCAGAAGAGGACUGGCCACCCCACAUAGCCUGGUUCCUCUCUAGGUUUCUUCCUAGGUUUUGGCCUUUCUAGGGAGUUUUUCCUAGCCACUGUGCUUCUACACCUGCAUUGCUUGCUGUUUGGGGUUUUAGGCUGGGUUUCUGUACAGCACUUUGAGGUAUCAGCUGAUGUACGAAGGGCUAUAUAAAUAAAUGUGAUUUGAUUUGUUCCAGAGUGGUGGUCGUUCGACGUCUCAAGCCUGAUGACAGGUGUCCACGUAUGUUCACCCCUCACCCCCUCACAGGCUGUCAUAUUGCAGUUGGCAGUGGGAGCCUUUGGGUAGCAUAUGUGAAGGAGUCAUCUGCUACUGUCUGCUUCCCUUUGAUGAACAGACAUCACAUGUGAACAUUUGCCGCCAUCUCCCUCCCAGUGGUAAUACGCAUUUAUUCCAGCACAGGGACAGAGACAGGAAGCUAGAGAAGCUGUGUGCUGACAUGCAGGGUGGCUUCCUCUCAGGGUGUGCUCUUCUCAUUCCUCAGUGUUACCCAUGGCUGUUAGGAGAUCAGACAUCGUCGGUUGGACAGGAUGGGGUUGGCAGUCCUGUGGGUCUGACUGCCACAACCAGAAUGUCAGCAUGCUACAGGAGCAAAGGCUAUUUUCUCACUCCCUCGUUUGUUGUGUAUGCUCCUUUCUCUCCUCUCAGUCAUACUAUAUACCAGGGAUCAUCAACUAAAUUCAGCCGGCGGAACGAUUAUUUCCUGAGCGGAUUGUCAGGGGGCUGGAACAUACUUCCAAAUAAUUUGCAGAUUGCUAAUUGACCGGAAGAAGCCCAAAGAUAUAUAUUUUUUGAGGAAAACAUAAUCAUUUCAAACCUUGCUUACAUUUGUAUGCAAUCAUGUGUCUCUCUAUUAUGCAUGAGAAUACUUGGGAACAUAGUUCUUGAAUUAAAC